rnacentral:rRNA from 1 species
UACAGAGGUCUCAAGCGUUGUUCGGAUUCAUUGGGCGUAAAGGGUGCGUAGGCGGCGCGCUAAGUCAGGUGUGAAAUGGCGGGGCUCAACCCCGAAACUGCAUUUGAUACUGGCGUGCUUGAGGACUGGAGAGGAGACUGGAAUUCACGGUGUAGCAGUGAAAUGCGUAGAUAUCGUGAGGAAGACCAGUGGCGAAGGCGGGUCUCUGGACAGUUCCUGACACUGAGGCACGAAGGCCAGGGGAGCAAACGGG